rnacentral:misc_RNA from 1 species
AAAUUAGCAAUUAUUGAGUAGAAUAAACAUUCGGCGUUAAGAGAAGCAGUGGUUGGUGAAAACUGCACAGGUGUUGAUAUUCGAAAUACAGCUAUCGAUUUAAGCAUGGCAGCACCAUGUUAUCAAAUGUCAAAGUGAUGUGCUUUUUAGCGCGUAAGCUGGGUGGUACCACGGAUUUUUAAAUGUCAAUUCGUCCCUGUU